GUACUUGGUUCUACAGCACAUAUAAUACAAUUGGAACAAAAGAGAAGAUUAGCAUGGCCGCUGGGCAAAGAUGACAUGCAAAUUCAUGAAACAGUCCAGGGCUUU
rnacentral:snRNA from 1 species